GCUAAGAGGAACACUGAAUGUGAUCGGGACCUCGCAGACGUUCUGGAACCCAGUGAUCUGUCUUGAUCCCGGCUCUUCUUAAAGAUCUGUAUUCAGGUGUUGGCUCACACGGUCAACUAGGCCCACAGAGAACCCUUCUAAUACACAAGGAACCAGGCGAUCAUGAAUUUGGAUGCUCUGACAAUGUCAAAGGCUGAGAAGUUUCUACACAGCUAUUAUGGACUGUCUACUCUAUGUGGUGAAGUUUUGAGCGUCGCUGUUGCUGAGUAGUUUACGUGCCAUCUUCAGAACUGUCCUCUGAGAAGAGCACUACCCAAUUUUACAGAGAUGAGAAGCAUGCAUGGUGGGGUUGCCCAAGUUCAAGGGUGCACAGAUAGCAGGAAGAGCUCAGACGGAAACCCAGGCACCCAGCACACAGGGUGCUGAAUUUGGAACCAGGGAGCCUGACUUUCUAGAUCAUGCAUCUCAUUUUCUCCAUGGAGUAAGUUCAGCCAAAAGCACGAGACCACGUCCUCCCUCUUCAGGUCCCCAAGCUACCCUCAUCCACACCUAUCUUGGAGGAAGACAGAACCGUCUUCCUAGCCAAGGGUCAUGCAGUUACCUCUGAAUUCUAUCUUUUGUGCUGUCCUGGGUGCUCUGGUCCAUCAGUCAUUCCAACGAAAGACAAAUAUGUAAGUUCAGGGAUAAUCAGGUCCAUUCUAAAGGCGAAGAAGCUGGAAAUAUCCAGAGACUUAAAACAGGUGGCUAAGGCCACCAGGGGACCACAUUUCACCUUUCCAAGGACAGUCCCAGUUCACGGCCCUCGUACCCGGGCUGGAAUAAGGAUCACUUCACUCAUUCAUUUCUGAAAACCCCCACUCUGAAGAGUAAAUUCUUCUGUUACUAGAAAACCCUCUUACUAGAGGUGGAAUUGGUACCCAGACCCGUGUGAUUGACCUCAAAACCAGGUGUCUGUUACCAUAGGCUACCCCAGUAAAACUCGGAAUUGCAAAGUUGAGAAGCCAGCCUUUGGAAUCCGUUCAGCCAACGGUUGUCAUUUUGUGUCUCUGGAGGACAGCUUCACGCAAUGACGGUUGAAGGCUUAAGGUCCAUCCACCCAUUUCAUACAUCAAGACAAUUCUCGUAUACCAUGUUAGUUUUGCCGUGUCUCGUGGUGCGUGUGCCCGGGGAUAAGGUCAUCUGGAUAGGUCUCCAGCUCAGUGUCCCCCUCUGGCCAACUGUGAGUCUUCUCUCUUGACACUAUAAGUGUGGAUUCCCAGGGCGUGCCUGCCUAUACCAGGAAUCAUCCCGAACACUAAAUCCCAUCUUACUUUUCAUACUCAGGGAGGGGUUUCUAUUAGCAAAUUAUACUGGUUUCCACAUCCCAGAAGACGAGAAGGCGGAAACAGAGUGAACUGUGCAUGUGGGUGCGAUCAGCUUCAGGGUUAACAAAUUUCGGCUAAUGGGGCUAGCGUGACCCUUCAAACACAUAGAACACAUGGGUUAGGGCAAUGUCUUCUUGUCUUCUCCAGUACCAAGAGCUGCAAAUGCUUUACUUGCUGCGGGCUACAAGAUAAGCCUAGAACAGCCAUGCAUUUUAAGAUCUCAGGGAGACAUCGCUUCCCAGGGGCAGAUGAUUCACACUCCCUGCACUCAGGCACUGAAGCUGAGAUCCUAAAAGAUAACAGCAAGCAUGAUUUCCUCACCCAGUUGUGGGGUAUUGCAUAUUAAAGGCACGGGGAGAGGGCGAA